rnacentral:rRNA from 1 species
CCUACGGGAGGCUGCAGUGGGGAAUAUUGGGCAAUGGAGGCAACUCUGACCCAGCAAUGCCGCGUGAAUGAUGAAGGUCUUCGGAUUGUAAAGUUCUUUUCUAAGGGAAGAAGAAAGUGACGGUACCUUAGGAAUAAGCCUCGGCUAACUACGUGCCAGCAGCCGCGGUAAUUCGUAGGCGGCAAGCGUUCUCCGGAAUGACUGGGCGUAAAGGGUGCGUAGGUGGUUUGACAAGUUAGUAGCGCAACUCCGGAGGUCAACUUCGGAACUACUACUAAAACUGUGGGACUUGAGUGCAGGAGGGGCAAUCGGAAUUCCUAGUGUAGCGGGGAAAUGCGUAGAUAUUAGGAGGAACACCAGUGGCGAAGGCGGCCUGCUGGACGGUGUACUGACGCUGAGGCUCGAAAGCGUGGGGAGCAAACAGGAUUAGAUACCCCAGUAGUC